ACAACAACAUAAACACAAGUGAAAGCACCUAAGCUAUUACAUUUAUUCAUUCAUACAAGUCAUUUGAUUACCUUCGUAUCAAAUACGAGUAAAACUAUUCUUUUACAUUCAUUUACAAUUACAUCACAUUUAUUUCAACCCAAAAUACAAAUUUACAUUUUCUAUCUUUACAUCAUCUACAGUUCAACACCUACAGUUAAGUACACCAAAAUGUA
rnacentral:lncRNA from 1 species